AUGGCCGCGGCCGCGCCGGCGAUGCGGGCCGGGCUGGUCUUGGUGGCGUUCUUGUUGUUGGCCGCAUCGGGGGCGGGGGCGAGGGCGGAGGGGGCGCUGCCGCGGUUCGCGGAGGCCCCCGAGUACCGGAACGGGGAGGGCUGCCCGGCGGCGGUGGCCGGCGCGGGGGUGUGCGACCCGGGGCUCGUCCACAUCGCGAUGACGCUCGACGCGCACUACCUCCGGGGCUCCAUGGCCGCCAUCUACUCGCUGCUCAAGCACGCCUCCUGCCCGGAGUCGCUCUUCUUCCACUUCCUCGCCGCUGACGCCGCCGCGCCCGGGGUCGGCGAGCUCCGGAGCGCGCUCGCCGCCUCCUUCCCGUCGCUGCGGUUCGAGAUCUACCCGUUCCGCGCCGACGCCGUCACGGGCCUCAUCUCCGCCUCGGUGCGCGCCGCGCUCGAGGCGCCGCUCAACUACGCCAGGAACUACCUCGCCGACCUGCUCCCCAAGUGCGUGCCCCGGGCCAUAUACCUCGACUCGGACGUGCUCGCCGUCGACGACGUGCGCAGGCUCUGGGAGACGCGCCUGCCCGCCGCCGCCGUCGUCGCCGCGCCCGAGUACUGCCACGCCAACUUCUCCCGCUACUUCACCGACGCCUUCUGGUCCGACCCGGACCUCGGCGCGCGCGUCUUCGCGGGCCGCCGCCGCGCGCCCUGCUACUUCAACACCGGCGUCAUGGUCAUCGACCUCCGGCGCUGGCGCUCGGGGAACUACCGCCACCGCGUCGAGCAGUGGAUGGAGUUGCAGAAGGAGAAGCGAAUCUACGAGCUGGGCUCCUUGCCCCCUUUCUUGCUCCUCUUCGCCGGCGAGGUGGAGGCUGUCGACCAUCGGUGGAACCAGCACGGCUUGGGCGGCGACAACAUUCUUGGUAGCUGCCGCCCGCUCCACAAGGGCCCUGUCAGCCUGAUGCACUGGUCAGGCAAGGGCAAGCCAUGGGAUCGCCUCGACGCCGGCAGGCCUUGCCCGCUCGACCAUACAUGGAAAUCAUACGACCUCUACAUUGGCGACGGUGAUGCAUCGCAAGCAUCGGCGCCGUCCUGGGCCUCAUUGUCAUCAUCGGCGUUGCCGGCGGCGGUGUUUUCUUGGUAG
rnacentral:rRNA from 1 species